UACGAAGGGGGCUAGCGUUGUUCGGAUUUACUGGGCGUAAAGCGCACGUAGGCGGACUAUUAAGUCAGGGGUGAAAUCCUGGAGCUCAACUCCAGAACUGCCUUCGAUACUGAGAGUCUCGAGUCCGGGAGAGGUGAGUGGAACUGCGAGUGUAGAGGUGAAAUUCGUAGAUAUUCGCAAGAACACCAGUGGCGAAGGCGGCUCACUGGCCCGGUACUGACGCUGAGGUGCGAAAGCGUGGGGAGCAAACAGG
rnacentral:rRNA from 1 species